AUUGAACGCUGGCGGCAGGCCUAACACAUGCAAGUCGAGCGAGCGGCUGACGGGUGAGUAAUGUAUGGGGACUGCCCGAUAGAGGGGGAUAACUACUGGUAACGGUGGCUAAUACCGCAUACUAUCGGCUAGACCCUAUGGGAUUAGCUAGUAGGUGGGGUAAAGGCUCACCUAGGUGACGAUCUCUAGCUGGUCUGAGAGGAUGAUCAGCCAAACUGGGACUGAGACACGGCCCAGACUCCUACGGAGGCAGCAGUGGGGAAUAUUGCACAAGGGGCGCAAGCAUGAUGCAGCCAUGCCGCGUGUAUGAAGAAGGCCUUAGGGUUGUAAAGUACUUUCAGCGGGGAGGCGUUACCCGCAGAAGAAGCACCGGCUAACUCCGUGCCAGCAGCCGCGGUAAUUC
rnacentral:rRNA from 1 species